UGCAUGCUGGCGNCAGGCCUAACACAUGCAAGUCGAGCGGAUGACGGGAGCUUGCUCCUUGAUUCAGCGGCGGACGGGUGAGUAAUGCCUAGGAAUCUGCCUGGUAGUGGGGGACAACGUUUCGAAAGGAACGCUAAUACCGCAUACGUCCUACGGGAGAAAGCAGGGGACCUUCGGGCCUUGCGCUAUCAGAUGAGCCUAGGUCGGAUUAGCUAGUAGGUGAGGUAAUGGCUCACCUAGGCGACGAUCCGUAACUGGUCUGAGAGGAUGAUCAGUCACACUGGAACUGAGACACGGUCCAGACUCCUACGGGAGGCAGCAGUGGGGAAUAUUGGACAAUGGGCGAAAGCCUGAUCCAGCCAUGCCGCGUGUGUGAAGAAGGUCUUCGGAUUGUAAAGCACUUUAAGUUGGGAGGAAGGGCAGUAAGUUAAUACCUUGCUGUUUUGACGUUACCGACAGAAUAAGCACCGGCUAACUCUGUGCCAGCAGCCGCGGUAAUACAGAGGGUGCAAGCGUUAAUCGGAAUUACUGGGCGUAAAGCGCGCGUAGGUGGUUCGUUAAGUUGGAUGUGAAAGCCCCGGGCUCAACCUGGGAACUGCAUCCAAAACUGGCAACUANANUAUGGUANANGGUGGUGGAAUUUCCUGUNUACCGGNGAAAUGCUANAUNUAGGAAGGAACACCANNGNCGAAGGCGACACCUGNCUUAUCUUACNCUGAG
rnacentral:rRNA from 1 species